AGCCAUCUUAGAGAAGCUAGGAACUGACCAGGAACAUCUUUAGUGAGGCUCAAGCAAUGGUACCUGAUACAUUAUCCCAAAGGUGCAUCAGUACCUAUCAAAAACAAGAAAAUGAAUAUCCUGCAUCAUACUUGAUGCACACAAUCUCACAAUUCAAUCAUAAUCAUCUUAAGUAUCUUUUCAAGCACAAGCAAUGAAUAAGAUGAAUGAAAAAGAUUGAAAAGAGUUUUAAAAGUCUAAGGGAACUUCCCUUGUGUUUUUGUGAGUUUCCAAACUCUCUCAAUGCACCAUCUUCAUGGCAUCAUCAACUUCUUGGAAAGGCAGAAUGGAUUGAUCAGCUUCUCCUCAAUCACCUCUCAUUGAAGCCGCAUUGAUGGAGAGCCUUCCUCCUCACUCGCCAAGGCUGCUCUGAACAGCCUCUUGCCAUGGAUCAUAUGCAUUAAGACUCCCCCUCAAGCUUAGAACCGAGACUAGAAGGAGCUAAGCUUGUGAUGAUCCUAUGCAUCUCCAUGGUCUAAUAACUAUCAUCUUUCAUGAUAGCUUUCUUCUUGUGAGUUUACUCUCUUCCUUAACCAGGAACUAGGGUGUUUGAAUCACCAUAGAGAGUCUCACAAGACACACCUCUCAUUGCAUAAUGACCCAUGCUACACUUCCUGUAGACUAAGGACUAGAUAUGUCCAAUGGUAUUAUGCAAUGGCUAUCUCUCAUUGCAUACUCAAUCACACUACACUUCCUGUAGAUUAUGGACUAACAUGUCCUAGUGAUGAUAUGCAAUGGCACAAGACCUUUGUCUUU
rnacentral:lncRNA from 1 species